UACGUAGGUGGCAAGCGUUGUCCGGAUUUAUUGGGUUUAAAGGGUGCGUAGGCGGUCGGGUAAGUCUGACGUGAAAUCUUCAAGCUCAACUUGGAAACUGCGUCGGAUACUAUUCGGCUCGAGGAAUGGAGGGGAGACUGGAAUUCUCGGUGUAGCAGUGAAAUGCGUAGAUAUCGAGAGGAACACCAGUGGCGAAGGCGAGUCUCUGGACAUUUCCUGACGCUGAUGCACGAAAGCCAGGGGAGCAAACGGG
rnacentral:rRNA from 1 species